AUUGAACGCUGGCGGCAUGCCUUACACAUGCAAGUCGAACGGCAGCGGGGGAGAAGCUUGCUUUUCCUGCCGGCGAGUGGCGAACGGGUGAGUAAUACAUCGGAACGUGCCCUGUAGUGGGGGAUAACUAGUCGAAAGAUUAGCUAAUACCGCAUACGACCUGAGGGUGAAAGGGGGGGACCGCAAGGCCUCAUGCUAUAGGAGCGGCCGAUGUCUGAUUAGCUAGUUGGUGGGGUAAAGGCCUACCAAGGCGACGAUCAGUGGCUGGUCUGACAGGACGAUCAGCCACACUGGGCAUGAGACACGGCCCAGACUCCUACGGGAGGCAGCAGUGGGGAAUUGUGGACAAUGGACGAGAGCCUGAUCCAGCAAUGCCGCGUGUGUGAAGAAGGCCUUCGGGUUGUAAAGCACUUUUGUCCGGAAAGAAAUGGCUCUGGUUAAUACCUGGGGUCGAUGACGGUACCGGAAGAAUAAGGACCGGCUAACUACGUGCCAGCCGCCGCAGUAAGAC
rnacentral:rRNA from 1 species